UACAGAGGUCUCAAGCGUUGUUCGGAUUCAUUGGGCGUAAAGGGCGCGUAGGCGGUCUGACAAGUCUGAUGUGAAAUCUCUGGGCUCAACCCAGAGUCUGCAUUAGAAACUGUCGGGCUUGAGUAUGGGAGAGGUGCGUGGAAUUUCCGGUGUAGCGGUGAAAUGCGUAGAUAUCGGAAGGAACACCUGUGGCGAAAGCGGCGCACUGGACCAUAACUGACGCUGAGGCGCGAAAGCUAGGGGAGCAAACAGG
rnacentral:rRNA from 1 species